AGACUGGAACACGCCUGACGGUGAGGGACGAAAGCCAGGGGAGCGAACGGGAUUAGAUACCCCGGUAGUCCUGGCUGUAAACGAUGCGUGCUAGGUGUUGGUAGGGCUUUGAGCUGUAUCAGUGCCGUAGGGAAACUGUUAAGCGCGCCCCCUGGGAAGUACGUUCGCAAGAAUGAAACUUAAAGGAAUUGGCGGGGGAGCACCACAAGGGGUGAAGCUUGCGGUUCAAUUGGACUCAACGCCGGGAAACUUACCGGGGGCGACAGCAGAAUGAAGGUCAGGUUGACGACCUUACCAGACAAGCUGAGCGGAGGUGCAUGGCCGUCGCCAGUUCGUGCCGUGAGGUAUCCUGUUAAGUCAGGCAACGAACGAGACCCACACACUUAGUUGCCAACGAAAGCCUACGGGUUUGUCGGGAACGCUAAGUGGACCGCCACCAUAUAGGUGGAGGAAGGAGUGGGCCACGGCAGGUCAGUAUGCCCCUAAUCCCCCGGGCCACACGCGGGCUGCAAUGGUAUGGACAAUGGGUAGCGACUCUGAAAAGAGAAGCCAAUCUCGAAACCAUAUCUCAGUUGGGAUUGAUGGCUGUAACUCGCCGUCAUGAACGUGGAAUCCCUAGUAAUCGUGUGUCAUCAUCGCACGGUGAAUACGUCUCUGCUCCUUGCACACACCGCCCGU
rnacentral:rRNA from 1 species